AGCGGCGGACGGGUGAGUAACACGUAGGCAACCUGCCUCUAGGACUGGGAUAACGUCGGGAAACCGAUGCUAAUACCGGAUAAAUUGGUUCUUCGCAUGAGGGACCAUGGAAAGACGGAGCAAUCUGUCACUUAGAGAUGGGCCUGCGGCGCAUUAGCUGGUUGGUGGGGUAAUGGCUCACCAAGGCGACGAUGCGUAGCCGACCUGAGAGGGUGAUCGGCCACACUGGGACUGAGACACGGCCCAG
rnacentral:rRNA from 1 species